GCGUGUAAAAUGCGUAGACAAGACAGUUCGACUUUAGCUGUUGUCCGAAUAAGAACAAUAUAUUCAUCAUGAAGUUUGGAGUGUGCAUUGCGAUGCUGUUGGUUGCAAUUUGCGCUUUGCUUGUCGAUGUACAAGCACUUCCGAAUUUCUACCCUACUUGGCCUGGUAGACCUGACAGACCUGGAUUACCUGGACCAUAUAAUCCUGGACCAUAUAAUCCUGGGCCGUAUAUACCUGGGCCGCAUAUACCUGGGCCGCAUAUGCCUGGACCAUAUAAUCCUGGGCCGUAUAUUGGCUGACCCUUUUAUGAGACCGAACUUUUGAAUUUCCUUGAGUGAUUGCUGUCUGUCGUCCACGCGCAAAAUCACAACAAAAAAUGUGUAAAAUUCACUUCUGUUACGUGGAAUAUAAUUUAUUUAAUGUUAUUCAACGCCCCUUUCGAAUGACUGUACAUAUAUUUACAUCUAUGUAUUAAUAAUCCUAUAUUUGUUAUACUUAUUAAAUAAUUCGAUCUACUAUA